rnacentral:rRNA from 1 species
AUUGAACGCUGGCGGCAGGCUUAACACAUGCAAGUCGAGCGGGGUGAUGGUGCUUGCACUAUCACUUAGCGGCGGACGGGUGAGUAAUGCUUAGGAAUCUGCCUAUUAGUGGGGGACAACAUCUCGAAAGGGAUGCUAAUACCGCAUAUGUCCUACGGGAGAAAGCAGGGGAUCACUUGUGACCUUGCGCUAAUAGAUGAGCCUAAGUCGGAUUAGCUAGUUGGUGGGGUAAGGGCCUACCAAGGCGACGAUCUGUAGCGGGUCUGAGAGGAUGAGCCGCCACACUGGGACUGAGACACGGCCCAGACUCCUACGGGAGGCAGCAGUGGGGAAUAUUGGACAAUGGGGGGAACCCUGAUCCAGCCAUGCCGCGUGUGUGAAGAAGGCCUUAUGGUUGUAAAGCACUUUAAGCGAGGAGGAGGCUCUUUUGGUUAAUACCCAAGAUGAGUGGACGUUACUCGCAGAAUAAGCACCGGCUAACUCUGUGCCAGCCGCCGCAGUAA